UGAUAGCAUCGAGCAAGGCAACACUGCUCGGCUAGGUAUUUUCUUCCAUGGCCGCCAAAUCAAAGGUCUAAGUCCCAGGUGCAAUCUCACACAAAGGAAGAGACAAGAUAAUUUGAUGACAAUGACUCGUGAAUGGAAAUAAAACACCAGCGGGAAUGAUUUACUCUUUUUUUCCUAGCUUAAGUUAUUGAUUGAGACGGCGAUUCAUGCUGUUAUUAUAAUUUUACACCCUUGUGUUCUUGGCAAAUAUUACGUUAUUUGGUUCAUAUGAAUGAGCACUUUUGAUGUUGUCUGCUUUCCUGAAUGAACCCUUGAUUUAGAACUACAUGACUGUCAUGUUGCCAUAUGUGGUAUCCUUUCCUGUUCAUAUAAAUCUGCAACAUGGGUGUUACUCAUGUUUCCUCAACCAACUUAUAGUCACUUUUGACUGGCAAGUGUAUCUUAACGGGCAUUCUGAUCUAUCUUUUUUGUUAGCUGCAGGUUCAAAAGCGCAGUGAUGAUAUUUUCUUACAGUUACUUCAAUUACAACACCUGGUUUAUCUUUAAGGGUUGCAGGAACAUGAAUUGGCGGCAGCUCAGCUGGCUGUUGUUUAUGCUGAAAUAAUACUGAUGCUCAAUCCAUAUCUCGACUUCUCAUUUCUGAACAUUAGAAAUGCUGAGCAGUCCAUGGAAGCUUGCCUAUGCUGCUUCUGUGCAACAUUAUUUCUCUGGACCUUUUUGCCUCCGCAGCUCUAGACAUGAACUUCCUGAUACGCUUGGAUUUCAGACCUACAUUCAGUCAGUCAUCUGUUGGCAGUUUAGUUGUGUGAAGCACCUAUAUUGUUUGUCAGCAUCUCCUUUACAUAUAGAAGAGACCUUAUCAAAAGCAAAUUAUGAGGAUGCUAAUUCCUUUAUCGUUCAAUUCUUGGGGGUACUCAACUUGGAUUUCAGACCUACAUUCAUUCAGUCAUCCGUUGGCAGUUUAGUUGUGUGAAGCACCUAUAUUGUUUGUCAGCAUCUCCUUUACAUAUAGAAGAGACCUUAUCAAAAGCAAAUUAUGAGGAACUAAAAGAAAAGGCUAGAUUUAUAAAUGUGGUGCUCUCUCUUCCUGUUGGUGUGAGGCGGACAGAUGCCACCUACUUCCAGAUAAGCUCGGCUGCUCUCCCUUCAACUCAUGCCGAUGGCAGCGCGUCCUCCCUUCCCUUCGGGCAAGAGGGAGUUGGAGCUGUUCCGGUGACCGGCAGAGGAAGGGUACGCCGUGAGGCGGCCCCGUCGGAUAACGUAGCAACCCUUCCAGCAACCAAUUCAACUGCGGUUUUGCUCUCUGUAUUUCUGUGACGGUCUUUUAGUUGUGGACAACCUUUAUAAAACGAAUGUUCUAGGCUCUAGGUCACUGCUACUAUAUACUUUUUAGCUUUAGUUCCCUUUAUUGAUUGCGAUUUAUCUAAAAAGUUGUUUAGUUUAUCCACCUGGAUUGAAAAGCAUGCUCUGACUUGCUUAAAGGAUAUCUAGUUAUGUAGUUAGACCGGUUGAGGUACAACAUUACAUGUUGACUAUAGGCACAUGUUCAUUAUAUGUACGCUGGUAAUUAAA